rnacentral:sRNA from 1 species
UUUUCUUGUCUAAUGGUGUUGGUGAAUACUCCAGAAUUUUGUCAGAGAACAGUGGCCGUAGCAGAUACUCUCAUUUUCUUCUUGGCCUAACAGAAGUGCUUCUAGCAUUUGACCGUUAAAGUGCUGUCCUGGAAGCGGAGACAGGUGCAUUUUGUCAUGUGGUAGUGAAGUCCAUCCACUCUUCUUUUAUUAGAUUUAAAACACCAAGAAUGCACAUUAAACAAGCUCUAGUGCUGUUAUGGACAUAAUGAAAUGACUGUGCGUCUUGGAGCUAUUAAUUGUAGGAUAUCCCUAAAUACUGGAUGAUUCCUGCAUCCGUCGAAAAUCUGACGUGGUCGCUGAAUUCUCGUUAUCCAUGCCAUGUGCUGCAGAGUUCAGCUUGCUGACAUUUUGUUUUGGAUUUUGCACUGAUGCUUCUAAAUAAGACUGUCACAGUUUUCUUUAUAGUGUUUGGAACCUCAGUUUGCUUUGUUCAAAAGAUAAUUUGAGUUUAAAUAGCAGCAGUGUCCUCUGCCCCACAGGGUUGGAUUUCCCGUAAAACCUGAGUCUAGUGUUUUGGGGUCCAGGGCUUAAGAAAGUUUUCUGUCUCUUCCAUACAGUUGGCCUGUGGGGGUCUCUGGCUUUUCCUCGGUGAUUUCUGCAGCGACCCCACACCCCGUUAGAACCCAGAGUUGGGCAGGGGAGGGCUGGGGGUGAGGUUGGUUGGAACUGGCUUCACAGGCUUGGCUCUGCCGUUCUCUAGCUCUGCAGACCCCUGCUGUGGGUUCUCCCAGACCCUCCCAGGGUGAGCAGUGAGGGUGCUGGGGCUGCCCCUGCUCCUUUAAUGGAGGUGUCUCCAUGUGGGUCUGGGUCUGAAUGCCCAGAGGGCUGGGAGGGCUGGCUGUGACCCAGAGGGGCCACAGGAGGGGUGGCAAGCGUGACCUUGUCAGGCCCUACCCACUGCCUGUGUCUCCAGGGAGAGCCCGGGCCACCCGGACAGAUGGGACCAGAAGGUCCUGGAGGCCAGCAGGGCUCGCCGGGGACCCAGGGCCGCGCAGUCCAGGGGCCUGUGGUAGGUGUCACUCCUUCCCUGCCCUCCUGCCCUGUGCCCCCUCCGCUUCGCUGUCCAGCCCAUCUCCCCCCUCCAGGGUCCACCAGGGGUCAAAGGAGAGAAAGGAGACCAUGGGCUCCCAGGCUUGCAGGGCCACCCCGGCCACCAGGGCAUCCCCGGGAGAGUUGGCCUCCAGGGACCAAAGGGAAUGAGAGGCCUGGAGGGAACUGCUGGCCUGCCUGGACCCCCUGGCCCCAGGGGGUUCCAGGGCAUGGCAGGGGCCAGGGGCACUAGUGGAGAGCGAGGACCUCCAGGGACCGUGGGGCCCACAGGACUGCCAGGGCCCAAAGGGGAACGAGGAGAGAAGGGCGAGCCGCAGUCCCUUGCCACCCUCUACCAGCUUGUGAGCCAGGCCUGUGAGUCUGCCAUUCAGACUCACGUGUCAAAGUUCGACUCCUUCCACAAGAACACCAGGCCCCCCAUGCCCAUCUUGGAGCAGAAGCUGGAGCCGGGCACUGAGCCCCUGGGGUCCCCUGGCACCCGCAGCAAGGCCCUGGUUCCUGGAGAAUGGGGGCGUGGUGGCCGCCACCUUGAGGGCAGAGGGGAGCCUGGAGCUGUUGGUCAGACGGGCAGCCCUGGGCAGCAGGGGGCUAGCACCCAGGGCCUCUGGGAGUGACAGGACAUUUUCUGCACUGCCCCGAGGAACGCUGAGCCUUCCUCCCUGGGUUUCUCUGGACACCGAGAGCGACCACAUCCUGGAGAAGCCAGGAGAAAAGCUCAGGAAGAGCCUGCAGGUGGAAGGAGAGAGAAGCAGCGGCCUCGGCCAAGGCCCACCCCAUGCUCUUGGCUCUGUAGCAUUUCCAAGUUCAGAUAAACCCCUGAGUGCUCACCCA